rnacentral:tRNA from 1 species
CAGAGAGUAGUUUAUAAAAAUUUUAGUUUUGGAGACUAAAGAAGGGGAAGUUUCUCUUUCUCUGA